GAUGAAGAACGUAGUGAAAUGCGAUAAGUAAUGUGAAUUGCAGAAUUCAGUGAAUCAUCGAAUCUUUGAACGCACAUUGCGCCCAUUAGUAUUCUAGUGGGCAUGCCUGUUCGAGCGUCAUUAAGUCCACUUAAGCCCUGCUUAGUGUUGGGAGACUGCUCCAGCGGUGCUACCCUGUAGCUACCCUGCAGCUCCUCAAAGACAGCGGUGGAGUUGUGGUAUCCUCUGAGCUUAGUAACUUGUUCUAGCUUUCGAGUACACCACUUCCCCUGCCGUAAAACCCUUAAUUUUUAAUGGUUGACCUCGGAUCAGGUAGGAAUACCCGCUGAACUUAAGCAUAUCAAUAAGCGGAGGA
rnacentral:misc_RNA from 1 species